rnacentral:rRNA from 1 species
GGGAUGGGCCCGCGACUGAUCAGGUAGUUGGUGAAGGCAAUGGCUCACCAAGCCUUUUACCGUGCGGGCCGUGAGAGCGGGAGCCCCGGAGAUGGGUACUGAGACAAGGACCCAGGCCCUACGGGGCGCAGCAGUCGCGACAACUCCGCAAUGCACGAAAGUGUGACGGGGCUACCCCGAGUGCCAUCCGCUGAGGAUGGCUUUUCCUUGGUAUAACUAGCCGGGGGAAUAAGGAGAGGGCAAGACUGGUGUCAGCCGCCGCGGUAAUACCAGCUCUCCGAGUGGUAGGGAUGAUUAUUGGGCUUAAAGCGUCCGUAGCCGGCUUAGCAAGUCUCCUGUUAAAUUCAGCGACCUAAUCGUUGAGCCGCGGGAGAUACUACUAGGCUAGGAGGCGGGAGAGGUCGACGGUACUUCUGGGGUAGGGGUGAAAUCCUAUAAUCCCGGGAGGACCACCAGUGGCGAAGGCUGUUGACUAGAACGCGCUCGACGGUGAGGGACGAAAGCUGGGGGAGCGUACCGGAUUAGAUACCCGGGUAGUCCCAGCCGUAAACGAUGCGGGCUAGGUGUUGGGGUGGCUACGUGCCACCUCAGUGCCGCAGGGAAGCCAUUAAGCCCGCCGCCUGGGGAGUACGGCCGCAAGGCUGAAACUUAAAGGAAUUGGCGGGGGAGCACCACAAGGCGUGAAGCUUGCGGUUC